rnacentral:rRNA from 1 species
CGGGGGGCAGCAGUGGGGAAUUUUGGACAAUGGGGGAAACCCUGAUCCAGCAAUGCCGCGUGUGUGAAGAAGGCCUUCGGGUUGUAAAGCACUUUUGGCAGGAGCGAAACGGCUUGGGCUAAUACCUUGAGCUAAUGACGGUACCUGCAGAAUAAGCACCGGCUAACUACGUGCCAGCAGCCGCGGUAAUACGUAGGGUGCAAGCGUUAAUCGGAAUUACUGGGCGUAAAGCGAGCGCAGGCGGUUAUGUAAGACAGAUGUGAAAUCCCCGGGCUUAACCUGGGAACUGCAUUUGUGACUGCAUGGCUAGAGUGUGUCAGAGGGGGGUGGAAUUCCACGUGUAGCAGUGAAAUGCGUAGAUAUGUGGAGGAACACCGAUGGCGAAGGCAGCCCCCUGGGAUAACACUGACGCUCAUGCUCGAAAGCGUGGGGAGCAAACAGGAUUAGAUACCCCCGU